AAGUCGUAACAAGGUUUCCGUAGGUGAACCUGCGGAAGGAUCAUUAACGAAUUGUUCGGGAAGCUGAUGCCUGCUCCGGCGUGUGCUCGCUUCCUGCAAUCCAUCCAUACACCUGUGCACACUUUGUCGAGAAGAGAAGGAACGAACGGAAAUCCGAAAGGGAUCCUGAACGCAAACGCUCUUCUCACACACAUAAACUCUUGUCAAAAAUCUUGAACGUGACCGCGAGCCGCAAGGCCGUAAUAAUCAUAAUACAACUUUUAACAACGGAUCUCUUGGCUCUCGCAUCGAUGAAGAACGCAGCGAAAUGCGAUACGUAAUGUGAAUUGCAGAAUUCAGUGAAUCAUCGAAUUUUUGAACGCACCUUGCGCUCCUUGGUAUUCCGAGGAGCACGCCUGUUCGAGUGUCGUGAAGCUCUCAAGCUGGUCGCUUUAUUGUCGAUUGCAGGCUUGGACGUGGACUCUGACGUUUUCGCAAGAGAAUGACUGGUCUAAAAUACAUUAGCUGACCCUUGUUGUGGAUUCGGUUCUACUCGACGUGAUAAAUAUCUAUCGUCGAGGACAUCCCCAGGGAUGGCCGGACUCGCCUCGGGACGCUUCUAAUCGUGUUCUUGGACACAACUUUUUCAAAUUUGACCUCGAAUCAGGUGGGACUACCCGCUGAACUUAAGCAUAUCAAUAAGCGGAGGAAAAGAAACUAACAAGGAUUCCCCUAGUAACGGCGAGUGAAGCGGGAUGAGCUCAAAUUUAAAAUCUGGCAGUCUUUGAUUGUCCGAGUUGUAAUCUAGAGAAGCGUUUUCCGUGUUGGACUGUGUACAAGUUUCCUGGAUACGGAACAUCAGAGAGGGUGAGAAUCCCGUCCUUGACACAGACUCCCAAUGCUCUGUGAUGCGCUCUCGACGAGUCGAGUUGUUUGGGAAUGCAGCUCAAAAUGGGAGGUAAAUUCCUUCUAAAGCUAAAUAUUGGCGAGAGACCGAUAGCGAACAAGUACCGUGAGGGAAAGAUGAAAAGCACUUUGGAAAGAGAGUUAAACAGUACGUGAAAUUGUUAAAAGGGAAACGCUUGAAGUCAGUCACGUCUGCUUGGACUCAGCCUUGCUUCUGCAUGGUGCAUUUCCUCGUAGACGGGCCAGCGUCCAUGUUGACUGCUGGAAAAGGAUCAAAGGAAUGUGGCUUCUCCGGGAGUGUUAUAGCCUUUGGUCGUAUACAGCGGAUGAUAUGGAGUGGUACAGCACGUUCUUCGGUGCUUGUGCUGGCAUAAUGGCUUUAAACGAC
rnacentral:rRNA from 1 species